AUACGGAGGGUGCAAGCGUUAAUCGGAAUUACUGGGCGUAAAGAGUACGUAGGUGGUUUAUUAAGUCAGAUGUGAAAGCCCCGGGCUCAACCUGGGAACUGCAUUUGAAACUGAUAAGCUAGAGUAUGGUAGAGGGGGGUAGAAUUUCUAGUGUAGCGGUGAAAUGCGUAGAUAUUAGAAGGAAUACCAGUGGCGAAGGCGGCCCCCUGGACCAAUACUGACACUGAGGUACGAAAGCGUGGGGAGCGAACAGAAUUAGAAACCCUAGUAGUCC
rnacentral:rRNA from 1 species